UCCGGGGGGAGCAAGCGUUGUUCGGAUUUACUGGGCGUAAAGGGCGCGUAGGCGGCGCAACAAGUCACUUGUGAAAUCUCCGGGCUUAACUCGGAACGGUCAAGUGAUACUGUUGUGCUAGAGUGCGGUAGGGGCAACUGGAAUUCUCGGUGUAGCGGUGAAAUGCGUAGAUAUCGAGAGGAACACCUGCGGCGAAGGCGGGUUGCUGGGCCGACACUGACGCUGAGGCACGAAAGCGUGGGGAGCAAACAGG
rnacentral:rRNA from 1 species